rnacentral:tRNA from 1 species
GCCUGGGUGGCUCAGUGGGUUGAGCGUCCGACUUCAGCUCGGUUCAUGAUCUCACAGUCUGUGAGUUCAAGCCCCGCGUUGGGCU